AUUUUAAAAACAGAAAUUGGUUGUCAUAUUGAUAAAAUAUUGACAUUAAAAGGGAAUUUGGUGUAACUCCAAAACUGUCCCGCAGCUGUAAGCUCAUUAACUGAAACCCUUUAAUAAGUCACUUUUCAUCUAGAAAGGGAAGGCUGGGUGUAGGGAGCAAGUCAGAAGACCUGCCAUUUUCAUAGUAAUAAU
rnacentral:ncRNA from 1 species